AACGAACGCUGGCGGCAGGCCUAACACAUGCAAGUCGAGCGAGCUCUUCGGAGCUAGCGGCGGACGGGUUAGUAACGCGUGGGAAUAUGCCCCUGGGUAAGGAACAACAGCUGGAAACGGCUGCUAAUACCUUAUGAUGUCUACGGACCAAAGAUUUAUCGCCCAGGGAUUAGCCCGCGUUGGAUUAGCUAGUUGGAGAGGUAACGGCUCACCAAGGCGACGAUCCAUAGCUGGUUUGAGAGGAUGAUCAGCAACACUGGGACUGAGACACGGCCCAGACUCCUACGGGAGGCAGCAGUGGGGAAUCUUAGACAAUGGGGGCAACCCUGAUCUAGCCAUGCCGCGUGAUUGAUGAAGGCCUUAGGGUUGUAAAGAUCUUUCACCGGGGACGAUAAUGACGGUACCCGGAGAAGAAGUCCCGGCUAACUUCG
rnacentral:rRNA from 1 species